CCAUCCACACCCAUUUUGACCGUUCAUUAGAUGUUUAUCGGCUAGCAGGGGAGGCCAUGAACAAUCUUUAAAAAAAACCAGGUUUGUAGCGUUAAACACAUGCUCCGGAAAUGCUAUACAUGUUCUCUUAUUUGUUCUUUUGGUAAUCUACUUCACCACUGACUCAAUUGUUGGUUCAACCAGUCUUUGUUGAUUGAGUUCUUGAUAUUAGCGAAUAUUUUUCUGACCGGCAGGUGCAAGUGCUGAGUUAUAACGCGACAUCGACGACACAAAAGCCAGUAUGUUUGAGCUAAGGGAACGAGCUAGGGACAGUACCACCCGGCUGCCCCAGCACUUAAGCUGACUGUCCAAUUCCACUUUCAUCCAUGGAGGCUGCGGUUUAAUUCUCAGGUUUGGCAACCUUUUCUCUCUACGGCUGAGUGUUGUAGUCCUGUCAAAUGAAGCAGUGUUGUUUUUGCAAUAUAGAACAGAUAUAUAAGGUGCUUCCAAUUUCUUAAUCCCAGAAUUGACGAGACCUUAUUUAGUUUGGACUCAUAAUAAUGUGUCAAUUAGAAAUAGAGCAUUGUCAUUAUCACGGCGGAUGGAUGUAUAUCAUAUGUUCUCUUGUGUUGUAUUUUGGUGAGAAAAAAGGAGAAAUAUGAGAGGAACAGAGAGAGCAGAGAGAGAGGCUCACAUCACUGAACCCUUUUGGAUUCUAAUGCAAGGUUGGAUAAUAUGAAGUUUUUUGGCUUAUCGUUGCGCCUCAUGUUUCCGACCUGGCGUGGCUGUACACUUCUCGUACUCGACUGUUCGCCGGAACUUUGUCUGACCUGAGGUACAUACUGCAGUGUCAUCAAUUUGCAUCGGUCAUCAAAGACUACUUUUGUCUAUCAUUUAAAUUGCCACGAGUAUUUGAAAUUCAUUCUUCUUACUUUUUCAGAUAAUAUAGUAUAUACUAAUUUUGUUCAAGUAUAUACUACUUUUUAUCACUUUUACUUUUUCUCACCGGAUGCAUGCAUGCUUCUCCUCACAGGUUUCCCUUGGUUCAGUACUUAAUUUUUUUGGUGUAUACUUUCUCCUCGGCAGUGAAGUAUAUGUACGACAAGACAGAACAUAUACUGUUGAUCGAUACUGAAACACACCAUACAGAAAGGCCCUCUCUUCUAUACCCCUUUGCGAAAAAUAGUAUACUAUCAUUUGAAAAGAAAACACACCAUACACUCCUUUGUGACAAUGAGUAUACACUGAUCGUUAUUGCCAGUAUCAUAGGUAUAUACUCUGAGAAUAGUUGUAUAUAUCCCAUUUGAAAAAAUAGUAUGUAUAUACUCCUUGCAAAUUACUCCAUAUCGUUUAAUUGUUUUUACAUAAGACUAUCCGUCGAGAUACAAUAACUAAUUAGUAUUUUAAUAACUUGAAUUGCAUGGCUUGAUCGCUCUGCUUGGGUCUUCUCUUAUGUAUGAGUGCACCAUGUGCGGGUUAAUUUUUUUGGGUCUUCUAACUCUCUGGGAUAAUUUGCAUCUCUAUUUGUGCUAAUUGGCAAGGUGCAUGAAUAAUGAUUUAUCUAAGGUUUUUUGCUUAACGGAAAGGCCUUUUCAGUUAAAAAACCCUACUGAUUUGAUCAACAGAAUAUGCCUCUGUUUUUAAAUAGCAGUAGUUCCUCUCAACUUCUACUUAUUUAAUUGACUAUUUUGGUGUCAAGAUCCAAUAGCCUUGCUGUUAGUUAAUGCUAUUUAUAUUUUCUUCCAACAAAGUGUUUACGGCCAAAAAACUCGUCAUUUCCAGCAAAAACAAUGGCUCGCUCCCGCCAGGCCGCAGCAAAAGUUUUGGCCGGUCCCAUAAAAAAUAGUUCCAGCAAAAAAGAUUGUUGUCCCGGUCAUAGGUAUUGUAUGAUUCCACUCUACUCCUCUGUAGUUAUUUGGCUGAAGAUGUGCAUUAGUGGUUGGCUGUGAUAAUACAUAUAGUAAGAUUGCAUGUUAUGCUUAGCAGAGCUUAGCGGAAAUUUGCUAGAGGAGUUGCAACAGCCUUGAUCAAAUAUUAUUUUCAUUAUUCCUUCUUGGUUUUAGAUAAUCUUCAUCGAAAUUUGCUAGAGAAGUUGCAACAGCUUUGGUCAAAUAUUAUUUUUAUUAUUCCUUGUUGGGUUUAGACAAUAAACUAGAGAAUCGAAAUCCUUCUACUAUAUGUGUACCUGUAAUAGAGCAACGCUUGUUGCAGCUAGCUGCAGGAAGGACCAACUUGACUUGAUGGGGAUACAAUCACCAAGAAAGAUUCAUACCUGAACUUACCUUUAUGCACUGCACGAACUACCAAGAUAUUGUAUCUUCCUGUAUGAUCCAUAACUCAUAGACACAUGAGUAGCGAUGGGAUACUAUUUGGUAUGAACAACAUCAUCGUGUUGCAAUUCUAACAUGUAUUCAUUGAACUUAUUUAUCCACAUAAUAGUGAUGCAUCUUACGUAUCUGUCUAUUGUAUCUGAAUCUAAAAUGUAAUUAACUCCUUAAUUUGCCUUCAACAGGAUUGAUAUUUAAAUUAACCAUUUUUAUAAUGACAAUGAACAUGUCAUUUCUAAGCAUUGGCAUGCACUUUUUAUUUCAUGUCGAUAACACGGUGAUGCUUCGCGAAAUGUUUGAACAGGGUAGAUAGCCAUUCAACUAGGGGGAGCUGAUUUUUCCCCAUUGCAAUGCACGGGCACUUUUGCUAGAAGUAGAGGCAUUUAUUAACUGAAGCAAAGUCGCUCUGUCUUUAUCAUGUCAAUAGGCAAUUGUGCCUACAAAUUAGACAAUAGGGGGGAUUUAGCAAGUCACGGGCUCUGAAAGCAUAAAAAGUAAUUCAGUAUAUAGGCGACUACUUGAUUUUGAAGAGGUACUUCUUCAAAAAAGAUAGUACGUGAGCCUUUUCUAAGCUGUAGGAUAUCAUAGUCUGCUCUGCUAGCUGUAAAUUGUAAGAUAGGUGGCUGCAUGUCUCAUAUUCCCGCUAUUUACAUGCUCGACACUGAGAUAACCAUCUCAUCGGCUUCUGGUAAGCUCCCUCUCGACAUGCUUGCAUACCGGACGGUUUUGGUGCAUUUGUAGUAGCUCGUAUCAAUGGUUUCAGCUCUGCUAAACAAUGGGUUCAAUUAUUUCAUUAGUCUUAGCUACUGUGAUUUGAUAAGGAAUAUACUAACAAAUUUUGUUUGGUUCACUUGAACUCCGCCCCUUAAAGAGGUACUAUAUCUUAUCAAGCCUGCG
rnacentral:lncRNA from 1 species